UGACAGUCUAUUUACACAGAGGCAGCUGUGU
rnacentral:piRNA from 2 species